rnacentral:rRNA from 1 species
UUUACACUGCACGACAGUGCGAUAAGGGGACCCCAAGUGCGAGGGCAUACAGUCCUCGCUUUUGUGUACCGUAAGGUGGUACACGAAUAAGAGCUGGGCAAGACCGGUGCCAGCCGCCGCGGUAAUACCGGCAGCUCGAGUGAUGACCGAUUUUAUUGGGCCUAAAGCGUCCGUAGCUGGCCGCGUAGGUUCGUCGGGAAAUCCAUCCGCUCAACGGAUGGGCGUCCGGCGAAAACCACGUGGCUUGGGACCGGAAGGCUCGAGGGGUACGUCCGGGGUAGGAGUGAAAUCCCGUAAUCCUGGACGGACCGCCGAUGGCGAAAGCACCUCGAGAAAACGGAUCCGACAGUGAGGGACGAAAGCUAGGGUCUCGAACCGGAUUAG